rnacentral:rRNA from 1 species
GAUGAACGCUGGCGGCGUGCCUAAUACAUGCAAGUCGAGCGAACAGACGAGGAGCUUGCUCCUCUGACGUUAGCGGCGGACGGGUGAGUAACACGUGGAUAACCUACCUAUAAGACUGGGAUAACUUCGGGAAACCGGAGCUAAUACCGGAUAAUAUAUUGAACCGCAUGGUUCAAUAGUGAAAGACGGUUUUGCUGUCACUUAUAGAUGGAUCCGCGCCGCAUUAGCUAGUUGGUAAGGUAACGGCUUACCAAGGCAACGAUGCGUAGCCGACCUGAGAGGGUGAUCCGCCAAACUGGAACUGAGGCACGGUCCAGACUCCUACGGGAGGCAGCAGUAGGGAAUCUUCCGCAAUGGGCGAAAGCCUGACGGAGCAACGCCGCGUGAGUGAUGAAGGUCUUCGGAUCGUAAAACUCUGUUAUUAGGGAAGAACAAAUGUGUAAGUAACUAUGCACGUCUUGACGGUACCUAAUCAGAAAGCCACGGCUAACUACGUG